rnacentral:tRNA from 1 species
AGAUCUUUAGUUUAAUUUUUGAAUAGUUUGCUUACAAUAAACAGGUUUUAAGAUUUU